GCAGGCUGUUGCUAGGCUCCAGCGGCUCCCCGCCCGCGGGGGCGUGGAAGUGACAGCUCUCUGACCCGCAGGGCUGUGGGCGCCCUGCCGAGUGUCGCGCGGUCUUGGGGAGCCCUGCAGUGGGGCCCCUGCGGCGCAGCGCGCGGUGGGACUGGCCGGGUUCCCGCGGCGCCCAUGGCCUGUGUCUGCGCCGGUUCCUGGCAAGGGCACCUUGGCCGGGCGGCCCGCGUUCCCCGCGCUUCCCGCACCCACGUGAGCGGACCCGGCCCGCAAGCUGGGCCAGCCCGCGGUUUCCGGGCACUGGGGAGUGCACAGAGCCCCGGGCCAGCGACCGCAGCUGGGGCCCCUGGCUUCUCCCGAGCACUUUCCCCCGGACGAGUCCCUCCAGGGUGGCGGGCGGCACCCAGGGCCGGCGCUCCUCACCAACGCGCUGCAGCUACCGGCUCAGGAGGGAGCCGCAGCGUCGGAGGAGGAAAGCAUUUAAGAAUAGCACAAAGCCUUAGGCUCGAGGAAGCGUGACUGCUUACGUGUUGAAAAUAAAGGUUCUAUAAGUCCCACCGCGGGUGCGUAUUGAAAAGAAAGGGACCAUUAGCACGCGACCCUCGCCUAGGAGUAUAUAAACCGCAGCAAGACUUUCGGAUCACCAAGGCAGAGAAAAGAACACGUUGAAGGCUUUCGCUCAGUUUUCCAGGUUGUUUCGUUUCGUUUUGUUUCUAAUGUGGAUGAUCAUUUAAAAUGCCUCUGGUGGCCGGGCGCGGUGACUGACGCCUGUAAUCACAGCACUUCGGGAGGCCGAGGCGGGCGGAUCACCUGAGGUUAGGAAUUCGAGACCAGCCGGGGCAACAUGGUUAAACCCCCUCUCUACUAAAAAUAAAAAAAUUAGCUGGGCGUGGUGGCAUGUGCUUGUAGUCCCAGCUACUUGGGAGGCUGAGACAGAAGAAACGCUUGAACCCGGGAGGCGGAAGUUGCAAUGAGCCGAGAUUGCGCCAUUGCACUCCAGCCUGGGCAACAGAGCAAGACCCUGUCUCCAAAAAAACAAAACAAAAUUCCUCUGGUAGCCGGGUGUGGUGGCUCACGCCUGUAAUCUCAGCACUUUGGGAGGCUGAGGCAGGUGGAUCACUUGAAGUCAGGAGUUUGAGACCAGCCUGGCCAACAUAGUGAAACCUCGUCUCUACUAAAAAUACAAAAAUUAGCCAGGCAUGGUGAUGCGCGGCUGUAAUCCCAGCUACUCGGGAGGCUGAGGCAUGAGAAUCGGUUGAACCCGGGAGGUGGAGGUUGUAGUGAUCCGAGAUUGUGCCAUUGCACUCCAGCCUGGGCAACAGAGGGAGAUCCUGUCUCUAAAAUAAAAAAUAAAUAAAAUGCCUUUGGUGAACAGGAACGCUCAACAUUAGUGAUCCGCAGUGUAUUAGUGUUAAUAAUGGACAUCCCCUUUGAUCCAGCAAGCCCAUCUAGAGAUUUCCUAAGAUAGACAAGCCAGUUUGUGCAAUUUCAUCUGUACAGCAUUGUUUUUAGUAUGGAAAGAUUAGAGUUUACAUAUCCACCCAUAGGGAGAGAGUUAAAUAAAUUAUGGUGCAUCCGUUUAGUGGAUUAGUAUACAGCCAUUAGGAAUAAAGGAAUUCUAUAUGUGCUGGUAUGAAAUAUCUUUCUUAUUUUCAAGAAAAAAGCCCAGGUUCUAAAUAGUGUAUAAAGUAUGCUACUCAUUGUGCAUAGGGACAAAGAAAAUAUAUACAUUCAUGUUUGCAAAGAUACUGGAGAAAUGUUAGUAGUGGCUGCCUCUAAGGAUGACCAAGAGUGACAGUGACUUUUCAUUGUAUCUUCCUUUGUUCUUUUUGAAAUUUGUGCAGUCUACGUAUGCUAUCUAUUCAAAAUAAGUGGUGUUAAAGAAGAAGAAAUGCCUUUGAGAAUGAAAACGGCACUAUUUGUACAUUAUUUCUCCUUCUCACAUCGACCCAGAAGGUAGGUGUAAGGAAACUGCGUGGCUUCUUGAAUGAAGCCAAACUGCUCUGCAAGAUUGGUGGAAAAGGAGACUCACCAUCUGCUAACAGGCUCCUGGAUCUCAUAGCUGCUCUGUCUUAGCCCUUAAUAUGUUUCUUUUCCUCAUGGAUAGUGGUUCUGAAACCUGAGCUGUCAGAAGAAUCCUUGGCAGAUUCCUAGAUGCCAGCCUCAGACUCAGAAGGUCUGGAGUUGGGGCUGAAAUUUGCGUGGCUAAUGAGCGCUGCAGGUGACUCUGAGGCUGCUGGUCAGUGUCCAGCACUUGGAGAAACUCUACUGAGGGCACCUGCCCCUAAUUUACUGUUGCCACCACUGGGCUGGGGUCAAGAGGCUUUACUUCCCACAUCUGGGCCUCAACUGGGACCUCUGAGCUUUCCACUAGUUUCCAUUCCAUGAAGGAGUACAAAUUGGAGUAUGUAAAGACAAAAGACAUAUUGUCCAUCAGCUUCCUAUGAUCGAAGAAAAGUUUCCAUUUGUAAUAAACCAGCUUCUCUCAUCCAAUUAUCAACAUAGACCAAAAAAAAAAAAAAAAAGAAAAAGAAAAAAAAGGCCAGGCGCAGUGGCUCAUGCCUGUAAUCCCAGCACUUUGGAAGGUCAAGGUGGGCAGAUCACUUGAAGUCAGGAGUUCAAGACCAGUGUGGCCAACAUGGUGAAACCCUGUCUCUACUAAAAAUACAAAAAUUAGCCGGGAAUCGGUGGUGCGCGCCUAUAGUUCCAGCUACUCAGGAGGCUGAGGCAGGUGAAUCGCUUGAAUCCAGGAGGCGGAGGUUGCAUUGAGCGGAGAUCAUGCCACUGCACUCCAGCCUGGGUGGCAGAGCAAGACUCUGUCUCAAAAAGAAAAAGAAAAAAGAAAGAAAAAAUAAAAAAGCAGAGUCGUUCUGUGAGUGAAAACACUGAAUUCCACCGGUUCCUGAUCAUAUUGCCUUUAUUUCGUUCAUUCAUUCAUUCUGGAAAUGGGGAUAAAUAGCCCGCUUGUCUUUCCUGCAGGUUUGUUACAAUGGUGAAGGCAAUUUAGAAGGAAGUAUUUAGUGGAGGAUAAAAGUGUUUCGUAAAUGUAAAGAUGCAUUGUUUUGUUUCUGUCCUGCUGCCCAAUUUUCUCUCAGCCCAACACCUGCCUCUAUUUGGUUCUUAGGUUACACAUUAAUUCCAUUUGCUUAGUAAUUUAAAGAAUGUACUAUAGUACACCAAUAAGCUAAGAAACUCGGGCCCUUGACCCCGAGUCACCAGUGUCACCUAGAUUCAAAAACCAAUAUAACGAGUCAAGUAUGAAUGCACAAUGAUUUAGCUAAGAUAGCCCUUCUUGUCCCACCUCUAAUGAAUCCACAUGCUGCCCCAGGGCUUGGUACAUGCUGUUAAGCAAGCAGCUUUGCUCCCUCCUGCUCCCUAUUUUUGUCUUAGGUUGGUUUCAGUCCUUCCACUGUGGAUGGAGAAGUCACAAAGAAAUGGUUUUGCAGGCAAGGAAUCUUUACUCUGUUUAGCAACUCAGUAACUUGCUAGCAAAUAAAUGGCAAAGGGUCAAAGAAAGUGGAAACAUCACUAUUUUGCAAUCCCUAUUGAAAUGAGGGAUUCAAGCAACAAUCAUCAAUAGAAGCCAAAAUCCUCCUUUGAAGGGAACUGGAUAAUCCCAAGUGCUGGACUGUUGCCCACAGAUUCUCCGCUGCUGGUCACGAGGGGAAAAGUGCUCAACAUACUAUACAGGCAGCUUUCCCAACCACUCUGUCCCCAGCAGCUGGGAGCAGGGAGAAAUAGUGAGGAGGUUUUCAUGGUCAAAUGUAUUUAGAAACUUAUUUGAAUCAGGCAAUUACUUAAUUUCUGCAGCUCUUCUGAGAGCCUUUACUAAGCUAUGUGAAUUGUGAUACCGCAAGAGGAACUCUCACCAUGUAGCAUUUCCCAAACUUUUUAUUUUUUAUUUUAUUUUAUUUUUUGAGACGGAGUCUUGCUCCGUUGCCCAGGCUGGAGUGCAGUGGCGCGAUCUCGGCUCACUGCAAGCUCCGCCUCCCAGGUUCACGCCAUUCUCCUGCCUCAGCCUCUCUAAGUAGCUGGGACUGCAGGCGCCCGCCACCAUGCCCAGCUAAUUUUUUUUGUAUUUUUAGUAGAGACGGGGUUUCACCGUGAUCUCGAUCUCCUGACCUCGUGAUUCGCCUGUCUCGGCCUCCCAAAGUGCUGGGAUUACAAGCGUGAGCCACCGCGCCCGGCCUAUCCCAAACUUUUUAUUGAGACAGAGUCUCACUCUGUCACCCAGGAUGGAGUGCAAUAGCGUGAUCUCAGCUCACUGCAAUCUCUGCUUCCCAGGUUCAAGUGAUUGUCGUGCCUCAGCGUCCCAAG